rnacentral:lncRNA from 1 species
CCAAGCAGUGCCGGUGUUGGUGCAGUAUCACCAGGGAGGUACUGAGCUGAAAUGCAGAGUAAUCAGGCUUCAUCUUUAUCUGUGAAAAGAGACCUUAUGCUUCAGGAGAUAUGAAAAACAUCUAUCUGGAAUGAAGAGAUGGCAACAAGGUCACCAAAGGGAUGCAGCCAGAUGCAAAGGGCAGAAGCCCUACCACCGAGCACAGAAGUUUCUGAUAUGAUUUAUCCAGAGAAGCUGUGGAUGCCCCAUCCCUGGAGGUGCUCAAGGCCAGGUUCAUGGGGCUCUGGGCAGCCUGAGCUGUUGGGGGGGGCAGCCCUGCUCAUGGUGUGAGGCCUUCCAAUUCUGCCUGGGAGCAGGGCCACAGUGAGCUGCAUUUACACCCACCAAUUGCAGCAGCAACCUGGCUGUGAGUGAGGGGCAUUUCCAAUGUCACGUAAAUCAUCAGAUGAAAGAG